rnacentral:rRNA from 1 species
CACGUAGGGGGCAAGCGUUGUCCGGAAUCAUUGGGCGUAAAGAGCUCGUAGGCGGCUCAGUAAGUCGGGUGUGAAACCCUCAGGCUCAACCUGGGGACGCCACCCGAUACUGCUGUGGCUAGAGCCCAGUAGGGGAGUGUGGAAUUCCCGGUGUAGCGGCGAAAUGCGCAGAUAUCGGGAGGAACACCAGCGGCGAAGGCGGCACUCUGGGCUGGUACUGACGCUGAGGAGCGAAAGCGUGGGUAGCAAACAGG